rnacentral:sRNA from 1 species
CGCAGCGGUAGAUCGGUUAAAACCUGCGACGUCCUGUCGCAACUCCGAUCGGCUGUACGUCUAGUGGU